AUUGAACGCUGGCGGCAUGCCUAACACAUGCAAGUCGAACGAGAUCUUCGGGUCUAGUGGCGCACGGGUGCGUAACGCGUGGGAAUCUGCCCUUUGGUUCGGAAUAACAGUUGGGAACGACUGCUAAUACCGGAUGAUGACGAAAGUCCAAAGAUUUAUCGCCAGAGGAUGAGCCCGCGUAGGAUUAGCUAGUUGGUGUGGUAAAGGCGCACCAAGGCGACGAUCCUUAGCUGGUCUGAGAGGAUGAUCAGCCACACUGGGACUGAGACACGGCCCAGACUCCUACGGGAGGCAGCAGUGGGGAAUAUUGGACAAUGGGCGAAAGCCUGAUCCAGCAAUGCCGCGUGAGUGAUGAAGGCCUUAGGGUUGUAAAGCUCUUUUACUCGGGAUGAUAAUGACAGUACCGGGAGAAUAAGCUCCGGCUAACUCCGUGCCAGCCGCCGCCGUAA
rnacentral:rRNA from 1 species